rnacentral:rRNA from 1 species
UACGGGCGGGGUAGCGCUCUGUGAAUGGAAGGGGUCCCGCAGGGAUUACUGCCUGUUCGCAAACGACAAAGUCGCCCGUAGGCCCGAUCGAGUCAGACGUUGGGGGAUAAGCUCCAGCGUCCAGAGGGCAACAGCCCAGAUCGUCCGCUAAGGUCCCCCAGUGAGGGCUGAGUGGUAAAGGUCGUCGCGCGGUGUAGACAGCCAGGAGGUUGGCUUAGAAGCAGCCAUCCUUGAAAGAGUGCGUAAUAGCUCACUGGUCUCAGUUGCGCGGCGCCGAGAAUGUUCGGGGCUAAGCCAUCCACCGAAGCGGCGAAUGCCGCCGACCGUCCGGUCGGCGGGAUGGUAGGGGAGCGUCCGCGGGGGGGUGAAGCCGGGGUGGAAACCCCGGUGGACCGCCGUGGAGUGCGAAUGCCGGUAUGAGUAGCGCAAAGGCCUGUGAGAAUCAGGUCCGCCGUAAGCCCCAGGGUUCCGGAGGCAGGAUCGUCCGCUCCGGGUUAGUCGGGCCUAAGGGGAGGCCGUGGAGGCGUACCCGAUGGAGACACGGUGGAGAGUCCGUGACCCGGCUCUUUUGGUGAAGCGAUCAGGACACUUGGUGGCGGGCACCGCGCCCCGUUGGUCGUGGGCGUCCCCGCAAGGGGGGACGGAAGACGAGUACGGAAGGGUGCGCGCCACUGGGUCAAGAAAAGUGAUCGGGGAGAAAGAGUCGGACCGUACCCAAACCGACACAGGUGGGCGAGGCGAGGAGCCUCAGGCGCGCGAGUGACCUCUCGUUAAGGAACUCGGCAAAAUGCCCCCGUAACUUCGGGAGAAGGGGGCCCCGCGGGCAACCGCGGGGGACAGCAAAACGGCCCAAGCGACUGUUUACCAAAAACACAGGUCCCUGCGAAGUCGUAAGACGCCGUAUAGGGGCUGACGCCUGCCCGGUGCUGGAAGGUUAAGGGGAGGGGUUGUGGCUCCGAACUGAAGCCCCAGUCAACGGCGGCCGUAACUAUAACGGUCCUAAGGUAGCGAAAUUCCUUGUCGGGUAAGUUCCGACCCGCACGAAAGGCGUAACGACUUGGGCGCUGUCUCAACGAGAGACUCGGUGAAAUUGAAGUACCUGUGAAGAUGCAGGGUACUGACGACUGGACAGAAAGACCCCGUGGAGCUUUACUGUAGCCUGACAUUGGGGGUUGGUGGCGUUGUACAGGAUAGGUGGGAGGCGGCGAACGCCGGGCGUCAGCCGGGCGGGAGCGGCCCGUGGGAUACCACCCUGCGCCGAAACCUCGUCUCACCCCCGUGAACGGCACGGGGGGACCGUGACAGGGGGGCAGUUUGACUGGGGCGGUCGCCUCCCAAACCGUAACGGAGGCGCCCAAAGGUUCCCUCAGCACGGUUGGAAAUCGUGCCGGGCGUGCAAAGGCACAAGGGAGCUUGACUGCGAGACCGACAGGUCGAGCCGGGUCGAAAGACGGGCUUAGUGAUCCGGUGGCCCCGCGUGGAAGGGCCAUCGCGCAACGGAUAAAAGCUACCCCGGGGAUAACAGGCUUAUCUCCCCCAAGAGUCCACAUCGACGGGGAGGUUUGGCACCUCGAUGUCGGCUCAUCGCAUCCUGGGGCUGGAGUCGGUCCCAAGGGUUCGGCUGUUCGCCGAUUAAAGCGGUACGUGAGCUGGGUUCAGAACGUCGUGAGACAGUUCGGUCCCUAUCCAUCGCAGGCGUUGGAGACUUGAGAGGAUCUGCCCCUAGUACGAGAGGACCGGGGUGGACGGAUCCAUGGUGUACCAGUUGUUCCGCCAGGAGCACCGCUGGGUAGCUACAUCCGGACGGGAGAAGCGCUGACUGCAUCUAAGCGCGAAACCCCCCUCAAGAUGAGGUCUCCCAUCCCCCGGCCGCAAGGCCGGGGGGGUAAGACCCCUUGUAGAACACGAGGUGAAUAGGCCCGAGGUGUACACGCCGCAAGGCGCUGAGCUGACGGGUACUAUGCGGUCGAGGCCUUGCCCAC